UGGAAAUAGAGAAGGAAGCAGAGCCAUGACUCCCCUGCACACCUCAGACUUCCCUCUAGCUACCUGCACACAUGCUGUGUAGUUUCAGCAGUUAAAGUCCCUACAACCCCGUCGCCAGGUGCACCUGCGUCACUUCCCAGGGGUCACUGUUCUCCUUGUUAAGGGGGCCGCUUCUCCCUAGGCCUCUAGCGCCUAAGAAGUUUUCCAACCGUGAGCUCCUGCUGAUUGCUGCUUCAAAGCUCUUUGGGGCCUAGUGAGUGAAGCGUCUCCCAGUGUCUACCUGAGGCUUCCUGGAAGAGCUUUUCCUUUUCCUCCUCCAGCUGGUGACGGUGGAAAGGACUUCUGGCCCAGUGGGAGCCCCAGGCAUGUUCCCUGGAGCCCUUCCCUGUGGUUCUAUCCUGGCCUCUGAAAGUUGCUUCAUCUGCACGUGCUGACCAGCUCUCCCCUGAAGACACAGUGGUCCUCUGAGGAUGUCCGACAGGAGAGAACCAAUAUUUUACAUGUUUUUAUCCAAUUGUGAAGUUUCUUAAGGAGGGGAUGGGAAAUUCACUCACAGGUCGUGAUUAGCAGCGAUCAUUGUUUUCCUGCACAAGGUGGCGAUUUCCCUUUUAUUAAAGAGUAUAGUCAUUAUUUGA